CAGCCGCCGCGGGAAUACGAAGGGUGCAAGCGUUAAUCGGAAUUACUGGGCAUAAAGCGUGCGCAGGCGGUGAUGUAAGACAGAUGUGAAAUCCCCGGGCUCAACCUGGGAACUGCAUUAGUGACUGCAUCGCUGGAGUGCGGCAGAGGGGGAUGGAAUUCCGCGUGUAGCAGUGAAAUGCGUAGAUAUGCGGAGGAACACCGAUGGCGAAGGCAAUCCCCUGGGCCUGCACUGACGCUCAUGCACGAAAGCGUGGGGAGCAAACAGGAUUAGAUACCCGAGUAGUCCCUGUCUCUUAUAC
rnacentral:rRNA from 1 species